rnacentral:misc_RNA from 1 species
GGGAGAAGUAAGGUUCCAAAUAUCAAGCUUGGUUACAGUUUCGGCUCUUCAAAAUUUUCUAAGUUUUCACUUUUUAUUGGUGAAGCAGCAAUGCACUGUAGCAAAGCUGUUGCACAGGAGCUUCAGCAGGCAAUGUCUGCAUAUGGAUAUGAAAUCGUCCAGACAAUCAUUGUUGAUAUAGAUGGAUGAGCAUGUGAAACGAGCCAUGAAUGCAGGUGACACUUAACAAAAUUUGCUGCUAAACAAGAAAACAAUGGUCACUUUCAAAUCUGAACUAAUUUUCUGAUUAAAUUCUUGAA